UACAGAGGGGGCAAGCGUUGUCCGGAAUUAUUGGGCGUAAAGAGCUCGUAGGCGGUCUGUUGCGUCCGCUGUGAAAACUCGGGGCUUAACCCCGAGCCUGCAGUGGAUACGGGCAGACUAGAGGUAGGUAGGGGAGAAUGGAAUUCCCGGUGUAGCGGUGAAAUGCGCAGAUAUCGGGAGGAACACCGGUGGCGAAGGCGGUUCUCUGGGCCUUACCUGACGCUGAGGAGCGAAAGCGUGGGGAGCGAACAGG
rnacentral:rRNA from 1 species